GACAGCUUGGCCGAGUGGUUAAGGCGAUAGACUAGAAAUCUAUUGGGGCAACCCGAUGAGUUCAAAUCUCACAGCUGUCG
rnacentral:tRNA from 1 species